AUUGAACGCUGGCGGCAGGCCUAACACAUGCAAGUCGAACGGUAGCACAGAGAGCUUGCUCUCGGGUGACGAGUGGCGGACGGGUGAGUAAUGUCUGGGAAACUGCCCGAUGGAGGGGGAUAACUACUGGAAACGGUAGCUAAUACCGCAUAAUGUCGCAAGACCAAAGAGGGGGACCUUCGGGCCUCUUGCCAUCGGAUGUGCCCAGAUGGGAUUAGCUAGUUGGUGAGGUAAUGGCUCACCAAGGCGACGAUCCCUAGCUGGUCUGAGAGGAGGACCAGCCACAAUGGAAAUGAGACAAGGGCCAGACUCCUAAGGGGGGGAGGAGGGGGGAAAAUUUGACAAAGGGGGCAAGCCGGAUCCAGGCAUACCGGGGGGUUGAAGAAGGGCUUUGGGGUGGAAAGGUCUUUUGAGGGGGAAGAAAAGCAAGGGGUUAAAAAACCGUUUUUUUGACGGUACCCCAAGAAAAAAGACCGGCUAAACUCGUG
rnacentral:rRNA from 1 species